UUAAUAUUUAAGAUUCGUCCACAGAGAUUAAAAUUAUUUUCGCAUUACCUUACUUAAAAUCUACGCGAAUUAGAACUAAUUUUGAAAGUUUGGGGAAAUUACGAUUUAACUAAUUAACAAGUAGGAUAUCUUGAGUACUAAUUUAAAAAAAAACAAAUUAAACUAGAAAUUGAUAAACUAAACUUAAACUUACAACUUCAAGGACUAGAAGACAAAAUGAGUUAAUAUAAAUUUGGCAUGACGUCAUUUUGCAACUUUAUCCAAUAUAAAAUCCACAACCUUUAUCAAUCAUUAACGAAACUCACGUGAGAACCAAAACAUGAAAUCAACAAAUGCAGCCACAAAAAAAUACAAAAAAAUAAAGGAUGACUACUCGGCCAAAACAACACAAAACAGACUCGGUGAACCCAGACUCUAACUAAAACAAACGACUCAGACUCAGUUUUAAAGCAGAACUCGGAAAACAAACACCAGCGGCGACAGGACUAAACUCGGCACUACACUAUCGAUUCAAAGAAAACAGAGCAGCCAAAUAACACCAAAUUCAAAUCAAAACUAAACAACAAGACUAGAUUGUGACUACGAGCGUGACUCGAAACCGGAAACAUAGUGCCAGUUCAAACAGGAGCUGAAACACAAACAGAAAAUAAAAUCUCGCAGCAAUUAGGACUCAAGCCAGGACUCGAACAAAACUCAGCUGAAUAAAACAAACUCAAACUUCUAAAACGAAACAACAAGACUCGAUUUACUGGACUCAGAAACGCAGCAACUGACUCGGGCAAAACUCAGAUUAAAAUUAAGCAACGAUUAUAUAAACUCAGUAGCAACAACGGACCCAACUCGCGACUACAGUGGACUCGGAAACAAGCAAAACUG
rnacentral:lncRNA from 1 species